rnacentral:misc_RNA from 1 species
GGAAGGAUCAUUGAAUCUAUCAAACAAUCCACACAUGUGAACUUCUUUGUCGGCCUCCGGGGACUUCAUCGCCCUCGGGUCGGCCCGCGGAAAUAGCCUCGCGGCAUUUCGCAGGCCGGGACUUGGCCACACACUCUAUAUGUGUGCGGUCGGGUCGGUCUUAUACUAACCCAUCAACACCAAACCAAACCUAAUAAGUAAACAAAGAGUGUUCGGCUCAGAGCCGGGACUCGAUAACCAAGACAACUCUCAACAACGGAUAUCUUGGCUCUCGCAACGAUGAAGAACGCAGCGAAAUGCGAUACGUAGUGUGAAUUGCAGAAAUACGUGAAUCAUCGAAUCUUUGAACGCAUAUUGCGCCCGAGGCUUCGGCCAAGGGCAUGUCUGCCUCAGCGUCGGGUUAAUACUCGCCCUCCCUUCACUGGGUUGGAGCGGACCUGGUCGUCCAGAGGGCUUAAUCCCCCCCUGGGUCGGCUGAAGAGUAGAGGCUGAUGCAUGGACCCGUUAUGGGCCUCGACUAGGUAGGCAACUCGCUUUGCUAAUCUCCAGUUGAUGGCUUGGAUCCGUGCCCGUCGGCCCGAACCAGGAAUUGAGCCUCGCGCUCAACACUCUCAUUUCCUCGACCUGAGCUCAGGCAAGAUUACCCGCUGAACUUAAGCAUAUCAAUAAGCGGAGGAAAAGAAACUAACAAGGAUGGCCCUAGUAACGGCGAGCGAACCGGCCAAAGCCCAACUUGUAAAUCUCCCUUCGGAGAAUUGUAGUCUAUAGAAGCGCCCUCUGUGGCAGGCGGAGCUCAAGUCGGAUCGAAUGCCGCGUCAGAGAGGGUGAUAACCCCGUCGGCUCCUGCCUUGCUACUCCACGAGGUGCUUUCCACGAGUCGGGUUGUUUGGGAAUGCAGCCCUAAUUUGGAGGUAAAUCCCUUCUAAGGCUAAAUAUUGGCGAGAGACCGAUAGCGAACAAGUACCGUGAGGGAAAGAUGAAAAGAACUUUGAAAAGAGAGUUAAAAGUGCUUGAAAUUGUUGAGAGGGAAGCGCUUGAAGCUCGUGGGUGCGCCCAGGCUUAAGCAGUCCUAACGGGCUGUUGAAUGUGCUGGGUGCUGGUCAGCGCGGAUUGGCUUGGCGGGAUAAAAGUCGGGUACCUGGGUUAGCCCGGCCGAUGCCGCCGAGUCGAUCAAGGCGUGAAGGGUGCUCUGUCCUCCGGGAUCUGCACUCUAAAGGCGCUGGCAGAAGAGCUUCAAUCGGCCCGUCUUGAAACACGGACCAAGGAGUCUAACAUGUAUGCGAGUUGGCGGGUGGUAAACCCGUAAGCGCAAGUAACCUGACUGGUGGGAUGGCCUGUGCCUGCACCAUCGACCGACCAUGUUGCUUUUGCGAAAGGUUUGAGUGCGAGCAUACCUGUUGGGACCCGAAAGAUGGUGAACUAUGCCUGAGCAGGGUGAAGCCAGAGGAAACUCUGGUGGAGGCUCGUAGAUGUGCUGACGUGCAAAUCGCUUUUCGGACUUGGGUAUAGGGGCGAAAGACUAAUCGAACCAUCUAGUAGCUGGUUCCCUC